rnacentral:lncRNA from 1 species
CAUAUCUCAAAGACAAUGGCAUUUGUUUCCGAUGUUGUGGGUCAACUCAGCACAGAGCUAAAGACUGUAAGGUUUCAAUCAAGUGCUCUGAGUGCGACAGCGACAGGCAUCUUGCUGCUCUGCAUCCAGGCCCAGCCCCUACAAAUACAGACACCGCUACAGCAGAGACAGAGCAUGGCGGGGAGCAAGGUGAUGAUGCUCUUCUAUCUGUCACCUCAAAGUGUACAGAGAUCUGUGGUGAGGGAGUCAAUCCAAGAUCAUGUUCAAAAAUAUGCCUAGUCAAAGCUUAUCCGGCUGGGAAAAGAGAGAAAGCUGUCAAAAUGUAUGUAGUGCUUGAUGAACAGAGUAACAAAUCUCUGGCCAAGACAGAGUUUUUCAGUCUCUUCAACAUCAAUGACAACUCUGCUCCAUACACCAUGAAGACGUGUUCUGGGGUAACAGAGACUUCAGGCAGGAGAGCCGUCAACUUCAUGGUGGAGUCUAUAGAUGGACACAUGCAGCUCACUCUCCCUACCCUGAUAGAGUGUGAUAUGAUGCCAGACGAUAGGAUGGAGAUUCCCUCCCCCGACAUUGCGUAUCAUCAUCCCCAUCUGCAACCAGUUAUGGACAGAAUUCCAGCUGUGGACCCAGACGCUCCCAUCCUCCUGCUCUUAGGACGAGACAUCUUAAGGGUACACAAGGUACGAGAGCAAAUCAAUGGGCCCCACGACACUCCUUAUGCACAGCGACUCGACCUCGGGUGGGUCAUCGUAGGUGAGGUCUGUCUGGGAACGGCUCACCGACCAGCCAAUGUUAACGUGUUCAGGACAAACAUACUUCAAAAUGGUCGCACAUCCUAUCUGAGCCCUUGCCCUGACAUCAUACAGGUGAAAGAGAACUACAACAGCGUAGCUCAGAAACACAUCUCUCCCUCUACAGUGCACUUGAGAGAUCCAAACACAACUGUGAACACAGACAGCCUGGGAUGUUCCGUGUUCGACAAAACACAAGACGAUGAUAAACCAGCACCAUCAGUGGAGGACAAAGCCUUCUUGGACAUUAUGGACAAACAGGUUUUCCAGGAUGAUGGAAACAACUGGGUGGCUCCACUACCCUUUCGCCCCACUAGACGUCGCCUUCCUAAUAACAGGGAGCAGGCCAUGAACCGUCUCACAUCACUUCGCAGGACUUUAGACAAAAAGCCUGACAUGAAGCGUCAUUUUA